rnacentral:rRNA from 1 species
UACGUAGGGGGCAAGCGUUGUCCGGAUUUAUUGGGCGUAAAGAGCUCGUAGGUGGUUCGGUAAAGUCGGAUGUGAAAUCUCCAGGCUCAACCUGGAGGGGUCCAUUCGAUACUGCCGUGACUAGAGUCGGUAGGGGAGUGUGGAAUUCCUGGUGUGAGCGGUGAAAUGCGCAGAUAUCAGGAAGAACACCCGUGGCUAAGGCGGUUCUCUAGUACGGUACUGACGCUGACGACGCGAAAGCGUGGGGAGCGAACAGG